rnacentral:rRNA from 1 species
GAUGAACGCUGGCGGCGUGCUUAACACAUGCAAGUCGAACGAAGCAUUUUGGAAUGAGACUUCGGUGGAUUUUCAAAAUGACUGAGUGGCGGACGGGUGAGUAACGCGUGGGCAACCUGCCUUACACAGGGGGACAACAGUUAGAAAUGACUGCUAAUACCGCAUAAGCGCACAGUGCUGCAUGGCACAGUGUGAAAAACUCCGGUGGUGUAAGAUGGGCCCGCGUUGGAUUAGCUAGUUGGUGGGGUAACGGCCUACCAAGGCGACGAUCCAUAGCCGACCUGAGAGGGUGACCGGCCACAUUGGGACUGAGACACGGCCCAA